GGUAAAAAAAAGGUAAGCUACUAAGAGCGAAUGGUGGAUGCCUUGACUGGUAAAGGCGAUGAAGGACGUACUAGACUGCGAUAAGCUACGGGGAGCUGUCAAGAAGCUUUGAUCCGUAGAUUUCCGAAUGGGGCAACCCAAUGUAUAGAGAUAUACAUUACCUAUAUAGGAGCGAACGAGGGGAAUUGAAACAUCUUAGUACUCUCAGGAAAAGAAAUCAAUAGAGAUUGCGUCAGUAGCGGCGAGCGAAAGCGCAAGAGGGCAAACCCAGUGCUUGCACUGGGGGUUGUAGGACUGCAAUGUGCAAGAGGUAAGUUUAGCAGAACAUUCUGGAAAGUAUA
rnacentral:rRNA from 1 species